CCUUUAAUGUUUGAUGUUCUAACGUGGACCCGUGAUCCGGGUUGCGGACAGUGUCUGGUGGGUAGUUUGACUGGGGCGGUCUCCUCCUAAAGAGUAACGGAGGAGCACGAAGGUUGGCUAAUCCUGGUCGGACAUCAGGAGGUUAGUGCAAUGGCAUAAGCCAGCUUGACUGCGAGCGUGACGGCGCGAGCAGGUGCGAAAGCAGGUCAUAGUGAUCCGGUGGUUCUGAAUGGAAGGGCCAUCGCUCAACGGAUAAAAGGUACUCCGGGGAUAACAGGCUGAUACCGCCCAAGAGUUCAUAUCGACGGCGGUGUUUGGCACCUCGAUGUCGGCUCAUCACAUCCUGGGGCUGAAGUAGGUCCCAAGGGUAUGGCUGUUCGCCAUUUAAAGUGGUACGCGAGCUGGGUUUAGAACGUCGUGAGACAGUUCGGUCCCUAUCUGCCGUGGGCGCUGGAGAACUGAGGGGGGCUGCUCCUAGUACGAGAGGACCGGAGUGGACGCAUCACUGGUGUUCGGGUUGUCAUGCCAAUGGCACUGCCCGGUAGCUAAAUGCGGAAGAGAUAAGUGCUGAAAGCAUCUAAGCACGAAACUUGCCCCGAGAUGAGUUCUCCCUGAGACUUAGAGUCUCCUGAAGGAACGUUGAAGACGACGACGUUGAUAGGCCGGGUGUGUAAGCGCAGCGAUGCGUUGAGCUAACCGGUACUAAUGAACCGUGAGGCUUAACCUUACAACGCCGAAG
rnacentral:rRNA from 1 species